CCUGACGUCUGUGCUGGGCUCAGAAGAUGGCUGCGGAGCCUAGCACCCGGCAGUGGCUGCUCCGGCGGCGGCGGACUGGGAGCGCGGCGGGCGGGGGCUCCACCUUGCGCGUGGGGCGCUGAGCCGAGAGGCGUGGAGGCGGCUAGGGCGCGCGGGGGGUUCGGGGGCCCGCUCCGCGCUGCCUCCCCGCCACUCGCCGCACCAUGGGCAGCGCUGAGAACGCAGUCAAAGAGAAACUGCUGUGGAACGUGAAAAAGGAGGUAAAGCAAAUCAUGGAGGAAGCUGUCACCAGGAAAUUUGUGCAUGAAGACAGCAGCCACAUCAUUGCUCUGUGUGGCUCAGGUGCUAUUUUCCUUUGUGGCCCAGGUGCAGUAGAAGCUUGCCUCCUGCAUCAGCUGAAACGCCGUGCUGCUGGCUUCCUGCGGAGUGACAAGAUGGCAGCCCUAUUCACCAAGGUGGGGAAGACGUGCCCUGUGGCUGGGGAAAUAUGCCACAAGGUGCAGGAGUUGCAGCAACAAGUAGAGGGCAGGACACCCUCGGGAGCCAGCCAGGAGGCCCUGCGGAGACAGGGCUCAACCAGCGGGAAGGCCCCAGCCCUCAGCCCACAGGCCUUGAAACAUAUAUGGGUACGAACAGCACUCAUCGAGAAAGUUCUGGACAGGGUUGUACAGUACCUGGCGGAAAACUGCAGCAAGUUCUACGAGAAGGAAGCAUUACUGGCAGACCCUGUGUUUGGCCCAAUCCUGGCCUCUCUUCUAGUGGGACCCUGUGCCUUGGAAUACACAAAGCUCAAGACAGCUGAUCACUACUGGACUGACCCUUCUGCUGAUGAGCUGGUCCAGAGGCACCGUAUCCGGGGUCCCCCCAAUCGUCAGGACUCCCCUGCAAAGCGCCCAGCCCUGGGGAUCCAGAAGCGGCAUUCUAGUGGCAGUGCAUCAGAGGACAGGCUAGCGGCCUGCGCCCGGGAUUAUGUGGAAUCUCUGCACCAGAACUCCAGGAUGCGGCUGCUCUAUGGCAAGAACAACGUGCUGGUGCAGCCGAAGGAGGAUAUGGAGGCUGUCCCUGGCUACCUCUCCCUGCACCAGUCUGCGGAGAGCCUCACUCUGAAGUGGACCCCCAACCAACUCAUGAAUGGGACUCUGGGGGACUCUGAGCUAGAGAAGAGUGUUUACUGGGACUAUGCCCUAUUGGUGCCCUUCAGUCAGAUUGUCUGCAUCCACUGCCACCAGCAAAAGAGUGGCGGCACGCUUGUGCUGGUGAGCCAGGACGGAAUCCAGAGGCCACCACUGCAUUUCCCACAGGGAGGACACCUGCUGUCCUUUCUGUCCUGUCUGGAGAAUGGGCUGCUACCUCGAGGACAGCUUGAGCCCCCGCUGUGGACCCAGCAGGGGAAGGGCAAGGUAUUCCCUAAGCUACGGAAACGCAGCAGCAUGCAAUCCGUGGAUGUGGAGGAGCUGGGCAUGGGGCAGGCCACAGACUAUGUGUUCCGGAUCAUCUACCCUGGGCACAAGCAUGAGCACAUCACUAUUAACUACCACCACCUAGCGGCCAGCCGCGCGGCCUCGGUGGACGAUGAUGAGGAAGAGGAGGAUAAACUACACGCGAUGCUCUCAAUGAUCUGCUCGCGGAACCUCACAGCUCCCAAUCCGAUGAAAGAUGCUGGUGACAUGAUCGAGAUGCAGGGUUUUGGGCCUGGCCUGGCAGCCUGGCACCUGGAGCCCCUGUGCAGCCAGGGUUCCUCCUGCCUCUCCUGCUCCUCCCGCAGCUCCCCCUAUGCAACCCCCAGCCAUUGCAGCUGCAUCCCGGACCGGUUGCCCCUCAGGCUGCUGUGUGAAAGCAUGAAGAGGCAGAUUGUGUCCCGGGCCUUCUAUGGUUGUGAGUGUGUGGUGAGGUGGGGCUGCGAGGGGCUGGGCGUGGGGAGCACCUCAGUCACGGCCUCCUGGCUGCACACCACAGGGCUGGCCUACUGCCGCCACCUGUCCACAGUGCGGACCCACCUAUCAGCGUUGGUGCAUCACAACAUUAUUCCACCUGACCGGCCCCCGGGGGCUUCAGGAGGCCUCACCAAGGAUGUGUGGAGCAAGUAUCAGAAGGACAAAAAGAACUACAAGGAGUUGGAGCUGCUGAGGCAGGUUUACUAUGGAGGUGUGGAGCAUGAGAUCCGCAAGAACGUCUGGCCCUUUCUGCUUGGCCACUACAAGUUUGGCAUGAAUAAGAAGGAAAUGGAGCAGGUGGAUGCAGCGGUGGCAACAAGGUACCAGCAGGUGUUGGCAGAGUGGAAGGCCUGUGAGGUGGUGGUGAGGCAGCGGGAGCAGGAGGCUCACCCAUCCACGUUCACCAAGUUCUCCUCGGGCAGCAGCAUUGACAGCCACGUCCAGCACCUCAUUCACCGAGAUUCCACCAUCAGCAAUGAUGUGUUUAUCUCUGUGGAUGAUCUGGAGACCCCAGGGCCCCAGGCCUCUGAAGAUGCCAGACCAAAGCCUGAGCAAGAACCAGGAGUUGGGACUCCAGACAAUGCCAUGGUGGAGCAGCAGCAGUCAGUGGAGUUUGACUCUCCAGACUCAGGGCUGCCAUCCUCCCGAAAUUACUCUGUGGCCUCAGGCAUCCAGUCCAGCCUAGAUGAGGGCCAGAGUGUGGGCUUUGAGGAGGAUGGCGGUGGAGAGGAAGGCUCUGGCGGGCUGACCUCUGCAGCCCACAGUUUUUCUGAGCCCCGGGAUCCCAGCCAGGAGAAGGCUUCACAAGCCAGCGAGCUAGAAGCAGGCGGGGAGCUGGCAGCUGUGUGUGCUGCAUCCUACACUGUACGUGGAUGUUCCCCAACCACUCUUUCCAGAGGCCCUCCUGACAUGCUAACACUUGGGGACAGGCUCCAGGGUAGUGCUGUCUCCAUCUCUCAGCAUCCCCAGAGCACUAUAGAAUUACUGGACACCGUGGCCUUAAAUCUGCACCGCAUAGACAAGGAUGUGCAAAGAUGUGACCGAAACUACUGGUACUUCUCACUGCCCAAUCUUGAGAGGCUCAGAGACAUCAUGUGCAGGGGCCAUCUCUCCAGGGAGGAAAGGAUGGUGCACAGCCUCAGUGACUGUCCCUGGCGUUUCAGCUACGUGUGGGAGCACUUGGACAUGGGCUACGUGCAAGGCAUGUGUGAUCUGCUGGCACCUCUCUUGGUCAUCCUUGACAAUGAUCAGCUGGCCUACAGCUGCUUUAGCCACCUCAUGAAAAGGAUGAGCCAGAACUUCCCCAAUGGGGGCGCCAUGGACACCCACUUUGCCAACAUGCGGUCCCUCAUCCAGAUCCUGGACUCAGAGCUGUUUGAGCUGAUGCAUCAGAAUGGAGACUACACCCACUUCUAUUUCUGUUACCGCUGGUUCCUGCUGGAUUUUAAGAGAGAGCUGCUGUAUGAGGAUGUAUUUGCUGUGUGGGAGGUGAUCUGGGCAGCCAGGUGUAUCUCAUCGGAGCACUUUGUCCUGUUCAUUGCCCUGGCCCUGGUGGAGGCCUACCGAGAGAUUAUCCGAGACAACAACAUGGACUUCACUGAUAUCAUCAAGUUCUUCAAUGAGCGGGCUGAGCAUCAUGAUGCCCAGGAGAUCCUGCGGAUUGCCCGGGACCUGGUCCACAAGGUGCAGAUGCUCAUAGAGAACAAGUGAGCACUGUGGCUGGGAGCAGCAGCACGGAGAGAAAGCCUGGGCACCAGGCCCCUGGGCUCUAGCAGGGCAGCCCAGACUGCCCCACCCCCAGAUGACCCUGCCUGUCCAGUUGUGUUCCUAACAAACGACUGGGGGAAAGGGCAGGGACAACAGGACACCAUGAGCAGGAGCGGCCCACUGAACCUCAAAUCCCAUCCCAUCCCAGCCAGCCCACACAGACCAGGGUACAGCAACCAGGACAAGGGACAACAGGACACCCAACAGAGGCUGCUAGAGAUCAUGCCUGCCUCCUGCUCCAUGGCUCUCCCCAAUGAGGCCCAGCACCCUAGGCACGGAGGGCUUCCAGGCAGGUGCACAGGUCCAAGCUAGUCCUGAUCCAAGUAUGGUGUGUGUGUGGGGGUCUUCCGCACCACACACACACACACACCUUGACUUGGUCCUGAGGCUUCACCUCCUCAGAGGAAGAGACUGCCCCAUCUCUCCUCACAGCCUUUCUACCUUCCAGCCUCAUGUCCAAGGCCUCCAAUGCCAUUCACUCUGUUCCACUCAGUCACCAAUGUCCUGUGCUACCCUCCUUGAAACCUAUUCUCCAAAGAACCUACGCGAUCCUGCACUUCUCGCCACCUAAUCAUUCACCUGUCCCUUCGAAGCUGCUGGCUCUGCACCCCCCUCCAACAUCCUGGCUACUUCCCAUGGCACCUACCUGCACCUGCACUGCCUCUGAGAUACAAUGGUAACACACCGCUUCCUGCCCAGCACCUUCCCACAGACUCCCCAGCAUGAAUCCCCAACCGUGGAAUAUGGCCACUGUUCAGUAAGAAAUGAGCUCGACAGCACCCACUGACUCUAAGCACCCCUGGAGAGACUUCUGUUCUCAUCCACAGGUUUCAGGUCAGCCCAUCCCACCACACCAAUGUUGCCCACUUCCCCAAAACAGAGGGGUCCCUAAUCCACGGUGUCCUCUUCUUGACUUCAACAACCUUCCACCCGUCAGGUGCAAACCCCUCAGGUAGGCAGGUGCCAAGUGCUGGGGCUCUCACACUGGGGGAUCACUCUAGUUUCCUGACAGGAUCAGCAGCAGCUCCAGAAGGCCAGCUCUGGUCUCGCCUCUCAGUUCCCCUCCACACAAAAGUCCUGACUGAUAGAUACUUCAUGAGCCCAACUCUUCUCCAUCUCACAGGCCUCCCUGCAGGCAGCUCUCCUCACCUAGGCAAGUUGUGACUGCUGUGUCCACCAGACAGGGCAGCCGCUCCCUCAACCUGCUCCUGAGCGCCCAGCUUCCAAGCCUGCCAGUCGAGGAGUCCACAGGCUCUUCUCAAUCCAAACUCUGAUUUGUUUUGGUUUUUCCUUGGGAAUCCUGACUGCCUGGAUGCUCACACUCAGAUCCUGCCUCCUUCAUCCCUAGGUCUUUCAUGCUCCUGCUCCAAGACCACACCUGGUGGCCUCCAUGGUCUGUCCUCAGCCUGCUGCCUCAGAGCACUUCUUAGCACCUAUACCACACAUUUGGGCAUGACUCAGACGGGGCUUAGUCAGACACAGGCUCUCCUACAAACCACUACACCGUCUUGUGUGUGUUCUGUCUGUCCAGCUCAAUACACACUCUUUGUUCACUCUGCAA